GACACUGUGGCCGAGUGGUUAAGGCGAUGGCCUGCUACCUUAGUCCCGACUGGGUAAUAGUCAGCCAUUGGGUUCGCCCGCGUGAGUUCGAAUCUCAUCGGUGUCG